rnacentral:rRNA from 1 species
AACGCUAGCUACAGGCUUAACACAUGCAAGUCGAGGGGCAGCAGGAACUUAGCUUGCUAAGUUUGCUGGCGACCGGCGCACGGGUGAGUAACGCGUAUCCAACCUGCCCAUUACUCAGGGAUAGCCUUGCGAAAGUAAGAUUAAUACCUGAUGUUGUUUGAUUGCCGCAUGACGGUCAAACCAAAGAUUUAUUGGUAAUGGAUGGGGAUGCGUGACAUUAGGUAGUUGGUGAGGUAACGGCUCACCAAGCCCACGAUGUCUAGGGGUUCUGAGAGGAAGGUCCCCCACACUGGAACUGAGACACGGUCCAGACUCCUACGGGAGGCAGCAGUGAGGAAUAUUGGUCAAUGGACGAGAGUCUGAACCAGCCAAGUAGCGUGCAGGAAGACGGCCCUCUGGGUUGUAAACUGCUUUUAGUUGGGAAUAAAAAGAGGGACGUGUCCCUAAUUGUAUGUACCAUCAGAAAAAGGACCGGCUAAUUCCGUGCCAGCAGCCGCGGUAAUACGGAAGGUCCAGGCGUUAUCCGGAUUUAUUGGGUUUAAAGGGAGCGUAGGCGGGAUGUGUAAGUCAGCUGUGAAAGUUUGCGGCUCAACCGUAAAAUUGCAGUUGAAACUGCCAUUCUUGAGUGUGCGCAGGGAUGUUGGAAUUCGUGGUGUAGCGGUGAAAUGCUUAGAUAUCACGAAGAACUCCGAUCGCGAAGGCAGAUGUCCGGAGCACAACUGACGCUGAGGCUCGAAAGUGUGGGUAUCAAACAGGAUUAGAUACCCUGGUAGUCCACACAGUAAACGAUGAAUACUCGCGGUUGGCGAUACAUUGUCAGCCGCCACGCGAAAGCAUUAAGUAUUCCACCUGGGGAGUACGCCGGCAACGGUGAAACUCAAAGGAAUUGACGGGGGCCCGCACAAGCGGAGGAACAUGUGGUUUAAUUCGAUGAUACGCGAGGAACCUUACCCGGGCUUGAAUUGCAGCUGCAUUGACUAGAGAUAGUCAUUUCCUUCGGGACUGCUGUGAAGGUGCUGCAUGGUUGUCGUCAGCUCGUGCCGUGAGGUGUCGGCUUAAGUGC